rnacentral:lncRNA from 1 species
CUACCACUGUGGCCGAGCUGCGGUCUCUGAUGUCACCACCAACCGCAGCGAGGCGAGCCGCGGAGGCGCAAGCUCCGGCUCCAGCCUCCAGCAUGCGGCGGUGCCUCUUCCUUCUGUCUUCCAGCCCGGCAGGAGAAGCUCUCGCUGCUAGCCUCCCUCCUACCGCUCCGUCACCACCACCACCAACAGGGAGGGAGUGCCCCAGGCUCCAGACUCCAGCGGGCGAAAAGUGACGGAGCCUUCCAGUUCUCUAAGCCGGUUUCCGUAUGUUUCUAUUGAGCUGCUCAGUGCCCGGCUUAGAAGACCAGGAAAAGGAGUCACAGGUCGUAUGCUGGAGGCUUGAGCCGCGGCACCGUGGCGCGGCUCGCCUCGCUGCGGUUGGUGGUGGCGGUGGACAUUGCAGCGCGGCUGGAGGGGUAGGAAGAAGAAGAUAGUUUUGGGAUAGAUAGAGGUCCUUAGACAAGGUGCAAGACAAACAGAAGAGGGCAUGUGGGGUCAAACUCGCUAGCUGCCUGCCUGAUUUUUCUGCACACAGGUGAGAUAUUCCUGCACAUCCUCUGGUGACCCCAGAAUGAGGGGGACUCGCUGGUGAAUUGCCUCGGGCUUCACGUCCAGUACAGGCUGGGUCCCCGUGGUCGCCAAGCCUCCUGCCUGCUCAAUGAUGUAGGCCACGGGAUUGCAUUCAUACAGGAGCCGGAGCUGUGGAGGAACAGAGGCAGGUGAGUAAACUCUGCAAGUGGCCAAAUGUCCCGAGCCAUGCCCCUAAAGCUGGGGGAGGAGUUUGUACUGCGGCGCUUCCAUCUGGCUAGCAUGAGUGCACCAUGCACCU